GAUGAACGCUGGCGGCGUGCCUAAUACAUGCAAGUCGAGCGAACAUACGAGGAGCUUGCUCCUCUGACGUUAGCGGCGGACGGGUGCGUAACACGUGGAUAACCUACCUAUAAGACUGGGAUAACUUCGGGAAACCGUAGCUAAUACCUGAUAAUAUCUUGAACCGCAUUGUUCAAUAUUGAAAGACGGUUUUGCUGUCACUUAUAGAUGGAUCCGCGCCGCAUUAGCUAGUUGGUAAGGUAACGGCUUACCAAGGCAACGAUGCGUAGCCGACCUGAGAGGGUGAUCGGCCACACUGGAACUCAGACACGGUCCAGACUCCUACGGGAGGCAGCAGUAGGGAAUCUUCGGCAAUGGGCGAAAGCCUGACGGAGCAACGCCGCGUGAGUGAUGAAGGUCUUCGGAUCGUAAAACUCUGUUAUUAGGGAAGAACAAAUGUGUAAGUAACUAUGCACGUCUUGACGGUACCUAAUCAGAAAGCCACGGCUAACUACGUG
rnacentral:rRNA from 1 species